UACAGAGGGUGCGAGCGUUAAUCGGAAUUACUGGGCGUAAAGCGUGCGUAGACGGUUCUGUAAGUCGGAUGUGAAAUCCCCGGGCUCAACCUGGGAAUUGCAUUCGAAACUGCAGAGCUAGGGUGCGGUAGAGGGAAGCGGAAUUUCCGGUGUAGCGGUGAAAUGCGUAGAUAUCGGAAGGAACAUCAGUGGCGAAAGCGGCUUCCUGGACCAGCACCGACGUUCAGGCACGAAAGCGUGGGGAGCAAACAGGAUUAGAUACCCUGGUAGUCCACGCCAUAAACGAUGAGGACUAGACGUUGGGGGCUAUAAGCUCUCAGUGUCGUAGCUAACGCGCUAAGUCCUCCGCCUGGGGAGUACGGCCGCAAGGUUG
rnacentral:rRNA from 1 species